rnacentral:rRNA from 1 species
UGGGGAAUUUUGGACAAUGGGGGAAACCCUGAUCCAGCCAUCCCGCGUGUGCGAUGAAGGCCUUCUGGUUGUAAAGCAUUUUUGGCAGGAAAGAAACGUCAUGGGUUAAUACCCCGUGAAACUGACGGUACCUGCAGAAUAAGCACCGGCUAACUACGUGCCAGCAGCCGCGGUAAUACGUAGGGUGCAAGCGUUAAUCGGAAUUACUGGGCGUAAAGCGUGCGCAGGCGGUUCGGAAAGAAAGAUGUGAAAUCCCAGAGCUCAACUUUGGAACUGCAAUUGUAACUACCGGGCUAGAGUGUGUCAGAGGGAGGUGGAAUUCCGCGUGUAGCAGUGAAAUGCGUAAAUAUGCGGAGGAACAAAGAUGGCGAAGGCAGCAUCCUGGGAUAACACUGACGCUCAUGCACGAAAGCGUGGGGAGCAAACAGG